UAUAGAAGGGGGGAGAUUGAGCUUCGACCACUGCGCAUCCUAUUUUCAUGGGACAAAAGUGGGUCCGCCAUUUGUCAGGUCAUAGCACGGUAUUAUGAUCACGGUCUAACAAUUUAGUGAAUAUUCUUGUCAUUUAGCUGCCAUUGCCUGCUGUCAAGUCAAAAGAAUGUAAACAAUAAUAACAAAUAUGAACGUAUUUUUGGUGAUAUUCAGCGGAUUCGUGUGGUUUUAUUAGCUUUUUUUCGCUGAAUAGCAGGAUAUUUACGAUGGCUUACUUCACAAUUAUAGUAUUUCUCCUUCAAAAUUGAUGAAAAGACUCAUCGAAUUGAAAAAACUCCAUAUAGAAGGAAAUUAUACAAUUAAGUCUCUUAAAAAUAAAAUACAACACAUGAAAGAAGUGAUGGACUUUUUGAGACAAGAUCAACGUAUUUCUGAAAAUGCUGCCCAUCAUUGGGAGAAAUCUUUUGAUUCAGUGCCACAUUGAUGAAGACAUUUAAAAAAUGUAGAGAAUGAUACUGUGACCCUAAAAGUUCCAGUCUUGAGGGAAUUGUAAUAUUCUUCAAAAAUCAAGAGGGACUUCAUGUACCAUCAUAUGGAAUUAUAACGAUAUGUCAAUCAGGAAUUUGAUGAUUUCAACUGAAAAUAGAGUUUCAAGAGAUGAAAAUUUUCUCGAAGCAUUUGCAACAAUUCAAUCCCAAAAAUUUUAUGAUCGAGUUGAUGAUUUGUUCCCUUCCUUGAAAGAACAUUUUUUAUAUUCUUCAGUGAUUGGAAGACAUUAUGGCUUUCUUUUAGUGAAAAAUAUUGCCAGAUCUCAUUUUAAAAUUAGAAUAUUCAAUCUGUAAAAAGUUUAUACUGAAAAAUUCAAGGUUCUGCAAUUAGAAGACUUCAUCAGUUGAUUUUAUGCAGCAAUCGAUACUGGAUAUACAAUAUUGUAUAAAUAAAAUGAAUAGAAAAAUG